rnacentral:misc_RNA from 1 species
AAAAGUCAUGGCAUCAACUAUUCACUUGUGCUUCGCCUGUUUCGUCUUACCCGGAUACUCAUACAGAUUGCUUUUCAACUCCGAAUGAUCAACUAGAAGUUCACAGUAUGGAAUCAAAUGAUCAUGCAACUCGACAUAAUGUUUCCAAUGAGAACCAAAUUACGCAAAUGUUGGCUUUGACUUCAUCAGGUGGUUUGUGUGAUAGCAAUUUAACUGCUCAUACUACGGCCGAAUCCAUGUAUCCUUCUCUCGUUGCAGAAUCAGGGCG